rnacentral:rRNA from 1 species
GAUGAACGCUAGCUACAGGCUUAACACAUGCAAGUCGAGCGACCGGCACACGGGUGAGUAACACGUAUCCAACCUGCCCUUUACUCUGUGAUAGCCUUUCGAAAGAAAGAUUAAUACCCGAACUACAGGGUGGGGAUGCGUUCCAUUAGGUUGUUGGUGAGGUAACGGCUCACCAAGCCUGCGAUGGAUAGGGGUUCGGAGAGGAAGGGCCCCUAGAGUGGAACUAGGACCCGGACCACAAUCGUACGGGAGGGAGGAGUGAGGAAUAUUGGUCAAUGGAGGCUAGCCUGACCCAGCCAAGUAGCGUGAAGGAGGAAGGCUUAUUGGAAGUAAAUUUUUUUUAUAGAAGAAGAUGUAUUAAAUGAAUAAGGAUCGGCUAACUCCGUGCCAGCAGCCGCGGUAAUAC